rnacentral:rRNA from 1 species
UACGUAGGGACCAAGCGUUGUUCGGAUUUACUGGGCGUAAAGGGCGCGUAGGCGGCGCGGUAAGUCACUUGUGAAAUCUCUGAGCUUAACUCAGAACGGCCAAGUGAUACUGCAGUGCUAGAGUGCGGAAGGGGCAAUCGGAAUUCUUGGUGUAGCGGUGAAAUGCGUAGAUAUCAAGAGGAACACCUGAGGUGAAGACGGGUUGCUGGGCCAACACUGACGCUGAGGCGCGAAAGCCAGGGGAGCAAACGGG